UACGUAGGGGGGCAAGCGUUGUCCGGAUUUAUUGGGCGUAAAGAGCGUGUAGGCGGCCGUACAGGUCAGCUGUGAAAACUCGAGGCUCAACCUCGAGACGUCGGUUGAAACCGUACGGCUAGAGUCCGGAAGAGGAGAGUGGGAAUUCCCGGUGUAGCGGUGAAAUGCGCAGAUAUCGGGAAGAACACCCGUGGCGAAGGCGGCUCUCUGGGACGGUACUGACGCUGAGACGCGAAAGCGUGGGGAGCGAACAGG
rnacentral:rRNA from 1 species